rnacentral:pre_miRNA from 1 species
AGCUUUUCGAAUCCACGGUGAGAUUUCGUCAGACACCAACCCAUUAGGGCUGAUCAGACUUCCACGAUAAGUGAAGUU